UAGGGAAUCUUCGGCAAUGGACGAAAGUCUGACCGAGCAACGCCGCGUGAGUGAAGAAGGUUUUCGGAUCGUAAAACUCUGUUGUUAGAGAAGAACAAGGACGUUAGUAACUGAACGUCCCCUGACGGUAUCUAACCAGAAAGCCACGGCUAACUACGUGCCAGCAGCCGCGGUAAUACGUAGGUGGCAAGCGUCGUCCGGAUUUAUUGGGCGUAAAGCGAGCGCAGGCGGUUUCUUAAGUCUGAUGUGAAAGCCCCCGGCUCAACCGGGGAGGGUCAUUGGAAACUGGGAGACUUGAGUGCAGAAGAGGAGAGUGGAAUUCCAUGUGUAGCGGUGAAAUGCGUAGAUAUAUGGAGGAACACCAGUGGCGAAGGCGGCUCUCUAGUCUGUAACUGACGCUGGGGCUCGAAAGCGUGGGGAGCAAACAGG
rnacentral:rRNA from 1 species